GACGAACCGUACGAACGUUAAUCGGAAUUACUGGGCGUAAAGCGUGCGCAGGCGGUGAGCUGUGUCCGAUGUGAAAGCCCCGGGCUUAACCUGGGAAUGGCAUUGGAAACUGGCUCGCUGGAGUGUGGCAGAGGGGGGUGGAAUUCCGCGUGUAGCAGUGAAAUGCGUAGAGAUGCGGAGGAACACCGAUGGCGAAGGCAGCCCCCUGGGCUAACACUGACGCUCAGGCACGAAAGCGUGGGGAGCAAACAGG
rnacentral:rRNA from 1 species